GGACGUAGGCGGCUUUUUAAGUCGGAUUGUGAAAUCUCCCGGCUCAACUGGGAGGGGUCAUUCGAUACUGAUAGGCUAGAGUGCAGCAGAGGGAAGUGGAACUCCCGGUGUAGUGGUGAAAUGCGUAGAUAUCGGGAAGAACACUAGUGGCGAAGGCGGCUUUCUGGGCUGUAACUGACGCUGAGGUCCGAAGGCGUGGGGAGCAAACAGGGAUUAGAUACCCUGGUAGUCCACGCAGUAAACUAUGGAUACUAGGUAUGGGGGGUAUCGACCCCCUCCGUGCCGAAGCUAACGCUUUAAGUAUCCCGCCUGGGGAGUACGGUCGCAAGACUAAA
rnacentral:rRNA from 1 species